CCCCCCCCCCCCCCCGGUCCGUAUCAUCUCAGCUGAACUCCAACCAGAAGCAUCGAAUCCUCUCCGGACCAGUUUUUCCCCUUUUCCUCUGACUGUCAUUCCCUGCAAUAAAUAUCAUUUUACUGAU